rnacentral:rRNA from 1 species
CGGACGGGUGAGUAACACGUGGAUAACCUACCUAUAAGACUGGGAUAACUUCGGGAAACCGGAGCUAAUACCGGAUAAUAUUUUGAACCGCAUGGUUCAAAAGUGAAAGACGGUCUUGCUGUCACUUAUAGAUGGAUCCGCGCUGCAUUAGCUAGUUGGUAAGGUAACGGCUUACCAAGGCAACGAUGCAUAGCCGACCUGCGAGGGUGAUCGGCCACACUGGAACUGAGACACGGUCCAG